AGUAUGACAUUUCCCUUCAAAAUGUAUAGCAGAGUGGAAGUAUAAAUUAGCAUUAAAUGGAAGUACUAGUAAAGUACAAGUGGUGGAAAGUAUUUACUUAGUUUCCACCACUGCUCUGGGGAUUACUGUAUAUCAAGAUUAUAUAACAAUAAUUCUGUUUAUCUGUUUCAGACUCAACAGAGAAAGGAAGCGGACACCACAGACAGACUAUGGGGAGGACAUGGUUAUUUCUGGCUUUUUAGUUCUUUACUUUCUGUUAUAUUCUGACUUUUUCUGGCAUCCAUUAUAUUCAGUACGCUCUGUAUUACACUGUAUAACCCGAUGAGGUAGUUAAUCUAAAACUGUUCAAGGAAACUGAUUGUCCCAAAUUGUUUAAAUUUACUAACAAUUUAAGUCAAGUAUUUAUUCUUAAAGUAACUAGUAAAUAUAUUACACUCAUAUGCAGCAUUUCUUAAUUUCCUCUGGAUGAACUAAUCUAAUUGUUACUGUUAUUAUGAACUUUUCGACAAUAGACUACUUUUUUUUUAUGUGACCAACAUCAAAUCUUUACACUUUGGGGGGAUCAUUGAGAAUCAUUUAGAUGCAUUACAAACUGUAAUAAAAACAAAGAUAAAACAAAACCCUAAACUAUAUGGCAUCAUAGCAGUCAACAAACUGGGAUUACACCAAUAGUUAAGAUUCUGCACACAUUUUAGUGCACUCAAAACAUAAGAUUAUUUUUGAGUUAAUUCAUUGGAAUGAGUGACUCACAGUUUCACAGUGUACAACUAGGGCUGUCAGUUGAUCAGUGAUUGUCUGCAACUAAGAUAGGCAGGUGAAAGGCAAGCUGAACCCACAUCCGAAGACUCUGCUAAAUAACAAACACACGAUUGGUAUCAGAUAAGAGAACACAGAGGUUGUUUUUGUUGUGUGGGUAUUCACAGAGAACCUCUUCACAGAAAAGUAAAGACAGAUGUAAGAGGAGGAGAUAGUUCUACACUAAUUAAUCUUGUGUUAUUUCUUCAUGGUUGUGUUCAGCAUACAGACUAUGUCAACUGGCUCAGUUGUGAAAAUAUCCAGUCAGACGAGGGAAAUCGGUGUGUGGAAGGAACAACAGAAGUUGUCUAUGCAACUGUUGACUUCAACAACAAAAGAACAUCAAACACGGAGCAGCCGAGGAACUGCCAUGAUGACGAUGAAGAUGUGAUUUACAGCACAGUGUGGUGCAGGAAACAACCGUUGAACCCUUCAUAUAUGGAGCAUUACUGAUUUGACAAUAAACACGUGCCGUUUUGCAGAAACAGGUGUAUUGAUAGUCAUAAUGUUUUGAGGGUAUAUAUUGCUCUAUAUUUUACAUAUUUGUGAGAUGCGCUGCACCUGCAUUGCAGUAAAUAUUACAAAUAUUGCUGUUGCAAUGAUUCUGUUGGCUGUGAGUAUUAGAAUUCACAAAGAGUCUGUAGUAUAGAGUGUUUCAUUGUUCUCCUUGUGCCUGAUUCAAUAAAAAGGAAC